GCUAUUGGUUGGGUUUUGUCGUCGCCAUGGUGUAUGCUUCAGUUGCGCGGUUCGUUGAAGGUGCGGUUGUUACAGGUUUGUGUAUGUUGAAGAAGGAGUUUAUGGAGAGUUUUUGUAUGGUUGCGUUCUUGUUGAGUUUUGUACAAGGAUUUGAGGGAAUGAGUUGGAGUUGAAGGACUAAUUUUGUAUAUUCUACAGGUUGAAUUUGGUGCAAUUCUUGUUGGCUAUAAAAACAGGGUGCAGCCAAUGCUAAUAUUAGGAGGAUGAUUGUGCUGCUGUUAUGUAUG